AAAACCCCACCCAAUGAUCUAAGAAAGAAAAUAAAGACCCAUAUUGCAAUAGGAUCAGCUCAUCAAUAACUUUAAUUAGGGCCAAAUAGGGAGAAAACAUCUCUUCUGUGCCGCUGCUGCUAGCGCAACUCCAUUAGGCUAUCAUUGGAAAACUUGAGUAAUAAGGGGAGAAUAGAGCUCUACAAAUUGAAAUCGACUGAAGAGAUCCAAACAAACAUCCAUGGUGAUAA
rnacentral:misc_RNA from 1 species